GAAGAGAUGCUAAGAAACUUAAGGUGCCUACCUUUCUGCAUUGCCAUUGAAGUAGCAGUUCUCAGUUUUUUUCCCCUUUUCUCAACUAAUCUUUAAAUUAUAAUGAUCUUAUAAUUUUUCUUUAAAAGCUUUUCUAACGCAAUUUUUUCUGAUUUGAAUUAAUCAACAAUUAAGUUUCAGCUUAAACUGAAACUUGGAACUUUUCAAGCACCUUUGUAUA
rnacentral:misc_RNA from 1 species